rnacentral:rRNA from 1 species
CCUACGGGGGGCAGCAGUGGGGAAUAUUGCGCAAUGGGGGAAACCCUGACGCAGCAACGCCGCGUGAGUGAGGAAGUAUCUCGGUAUGUAAAGCUCUAUCAGCGGGGAAGAAGGAAGACGGUACCCGACUAAGAAGCCCCGGCUAACUACGUGCCAGCAGCCGCGGUAAUACGUAGGGGGCGAGCGUUAUCCGGAUUUAUUGGGUUUAAAGGGUGCGCAGGCGGAAGAUCAAGUCAGCGGUAAAAUUGAGAGGCUCAACCUCUUCGAGCCGUUGAAACUGGUUUUCUUGAGUGAGUGAGAAGUAUGCGGAAUGCGUGGUGUAGCGGUGAAAUGCAUAGAUAUCACGCAGAACUCCGAUUGCGAAGGCAGCAUACCGGCGCUCAACUGACGCUCAUGCACGAAAGUGUGGGUAUCGAACAGGAUUAGAUACCCCUGUAGUC